rnacentral:rRNA from 1 species
GAUGAACGCUAGCGGCAGGCCUAAUACAUGCAAGUCGAACGGUCCGCUUCGGCGGAUAGUGGCGCACGGGUGCGUAACACGUAUGCAACCUACCUUACAUUGGGGGAUAGCCUUUCGAAAGGGAGAUUAAUACCGCAUAAGACAGUAGCUGGGCAUCCAGUAGCUGUUAAAGAAUUAUCGAUGUAAGCCGGGCAUGCGUCCAAUUAGUUAGUUGGUGAGGUAAUGGCUCACCAAGACGAUGAUUGGGAGGGGAACUGAGAGGUCAAUCCCCCACACUGGAACUGAGACACGGUCCAGACUCCUACGGGAGGCAGCAGUAGGGAAUAUUGGGCAAUGGACGCAAGUCUGACCCAGCCAUGCCGCGUGCAGGAAGAAGGCGUUCUGCGUUGUAAACUGCUUUUAUAUAGGAAGAAACGACCCUUGCGAGGGGCAUUGACGGUAUUAUAUGAAUAAGCACCGGCUAACUCCGUGCCAGCCGCCGCAGUAAGAC